AACGAACGCUGGCGGCGCGUCUUAAGCAUGCAAGUCGAACGCCCUAGCAAUAGGGAGUGGCGCACGGGUGCGUAACACGUGGGAAUAUGCCUUUUGGUACGGAAUAACGUUUGGAAACGAACGCUAAUACCGUAUGGUCCCUUCGGGGUAAAGAUUUAUCGCCAAAAGAUUAGCCCGCGCUGGAUUAGCUAGUUGGUGAGGUAAUGGCUCACCAAGGCGACGAUCCAUAGCUGGUCUGAGAGGACGAUCAGCCACACUGGGACUGAGACACGGCCCAGACUCCUACGGGAGGCAGCAGUUAGGAAUAUUGGACAAUGGGCGCAAGCCUGAUCCAGCCAUGCCGCGUGAGUGAUGAAGGCCUUCGGGUUGUAAAGCUCUUUAGCCGAUGAUUAUAAUGACUGUAGUCGGAAAAUAAGCCCCGGCUAACUUCGUGCCAGCCGCCGCCGUAAGAC
rnacentral:rRNA from 1 species